ACCCAGUUGACGAGUCCCAAACAAGACGAAAUGAGCGUUGUCCUGUAU
rnacentral:hammerhead_ribozyme from 1 species